GAACUUUGCAGCGAGGCCAUCAACGCUGA
rnacentral:sRNA from 1 species